AUUAACACACUUCACCCUUUUUUUUUAUCCUGAUCAUCUGUCCGUCCUCUUUCAGAUGGCAGUGUGUUGUAUGCACAGGUCUCCCACGAUAGAGCUAAAACCAAGAAAGACAACGAUGACAGCCUGUUGUAUGCACAGGUCAAUUACAAUAAAGUGAAACCGAAGAGACACAAAGGGAAACCAGCUCCUGCAGCAGCUGAUGAAACAGUUUAUUCUGAAGUUAAAUCACAAACAGCUCUGGGUAACUGUGCAGAAAUAAAAUAGCUUACAUGUUGUGAUUUGUUGCUGUAACGAUGAACUCAAGUACUAAAGUGUUUAAGUUUUUAGGGAGUAAAUUUAGUUCCAAAUCACCUUUAAUGACUGAAUUAUGCUGCAUCAUUUCUUUCAGAUUAAUAACAAGAUCUGCAAAACCAACUGGAUCAGUGACAAAACUGAGUUUCAUUUGAAUUUAAGAGAGCAUUAGAGAAAUUGAGAUUAUGCACUGUUUUAUAAGAUAAAGUAAAAUAAGUAAAAUCUUUCAUCAUAAU